rnacentral:rRNA from 1 species
GACGAACGCUGGCGGCGUGGAUUAGGCAUGCAAGUCGAACGGUAUCAUCCUUUCGGGGGUGAGAGAGUGGCGAACUGGUGAGUAACACGUAGGUUAUCUACCCUCAAGACGGGGACAACCCAGGGAAACUUGGGCUAAUACCGGAUGUGAGCAACUUUUAGUUGUUUGAAAGGUGGCGUAAGCUGUCGCUUGGGGAUGAGCCUGCGUCCUAUUAGUUAGUUGGUGGGGUAACGGCUCACCUAGGCAAUGAUAGGUAGGCGGCCUUAACGGGUGGUCGCCCACACUGGGAUUGAGAUACGGCCCAGACUCCUACGGGAGGCAGCAGUCGAGAAUAGUCUACAAUGGUCGGAAGACUGAUAGUGCGACGCCGCGUGAACGAUGAAUCCCUUCGGGGUGUAAAGUUCUUUUAUAUGUGAGCAGUGCUUCUUAUAUUAACAGUAUGGGGAGAGAGAUAUUAGCAUAUGAAUAAGCAACGGCUAACUCCGUG